AUUGAACGCUGGCGGCAUGCCUUACACAUGCAAGUCGAACGGCAGCACGGGAGCAAUCCUGGUGGCGAGUGGCGAACGGGUGAGUAAUAUAUCGGAACGUGCCCAGUCGUGGGGAUAACGUAGCGAAAGCUACGCUAAUACCGCAUACGAUCUAUGGAUGAAAGCGGGGGAUCGCAAGACCUCGCGCGAUUGGAGCGGCCGAUAUCAGAUUAGGUAGUUGGUGAGGUAAAGGCUCACCAAGCCGACGAUCUGUAGCUGGUCUGAGAGGACGACCAGCCACACUGGGACUGAGACACGGUCCAGACUCCUACGGGAGGCAGCAGUGGGGAAUAUUGGACAAUGGGCGCAAGCCUGAUCCAGCCAUGCCGCGUGUGUGAAGAAGGCCUUCGGGUUGUUAAGACGACUUCUAGCGAGGAGGAA
rnacentral:rRNA from 1 species